AGAGUUUGAUCCUGGCUCAGAUUGAACGCUGGCGGAAUGCUUUACACAUGCAAGUCGAACGGCAGCACGGGGCAACCUGGUGGCGAGUGGCGAACGGGUGAGUAAUACAUCGGAACGUGCCCAAUCCUGGGGGAUAACGUAGCGAAAGUUACGCUAAUACCGCAUACGAUCUACGGAUGAAAGCGGGGGAUCGCAAGACCUCGCGCGAGUGGAGCGGCCGAUGUCAGAUUAGGUAGUUGGUGGGGUAAAGGCUCACCAAGCCAACGAUCUGUAGCUGGUCUGAGAGGACGACCAGCCACACUGGAACUGAGACACGGUCCAGACUCCUACGGGAGGCAGCAGUGGGGAAUUUUGGACAAUGGGCGCAAGCCUGAUCCAGCCAUCCCGCGUGCAGGAUGAAGGCCUUCGGGUUGUAAACUGCUUUUGUACGGAACGAAACGGCGAGCUCUAAUACAGUUUGCUAAUGACGGUACCGUAAGAAUAAGCACCGGCUAACUACGUG
rnacentral:rRNA from 1 species